rnacentral:rRNA from 1 species
GAUGAACGCUAGCGGCAGGCCUAACACAUGCAAGUCGAACGGUAACAGUCUCUUCGGAGAGCUGACGAGUGGCGCACGGGUGCGUAACGCGUAUAGAACCUACCCUUUACUAGGGGAUAGCCCAUGGAAACGUGGAUUAAUACCCUAUGGUAUAUAAAACUAGCAUUGGUUUUACAUUAAAGAUUUAUCGGUAAAAGGAUGGCUCUGCGUCCCAUUAGCUAGAUGGUAAGGUAACGGCUUACCAUGGCAACGAUGGGUAGGGGUCCUGAGAGGGAGAUCCCCCACACUGGUGCUGAGACACGGACCAGACUCCUACGGGAGGCAGCAGUGAGGAAUAUUGGACAAUGGUCGGAGGACUGAUCCAGCCAUGCCGCGUGCAGG